UGCGCAGGCGGCCAAGUGUGUGAGGCGUGAAAGCCCGGAGCUUAACUCCGGAAUUGCACCUCAAACUACAUGGCUAGAGCAUUGGAGAGGGUAGUGGAAUUCACGGUGUAGCAGUGAAAUGCGUAGAUAUCGUGAGGAACACCAGAGGCGAAGGCGGCUACCUGGACAAUUGCUGACGCUCAGGCACGAAAGCGUGGGGAGCAAAAG
rnacentral:rRNA from 1 species